AACGAACGCUGGCGGCAGGCCUAACACAUGCAAGUCGAACGCUUCAGCAAUGAAGAGUGGCAGACGGGUGAGUAACGCGUGGGAACCUUCCCAGUGGUACGGAAUAGCCCAGGGAAACUUGGGGUAAUACCGUAUAAGCCCUUCGGGGGAAAGAUUUAUCGCCAUUGGAUGGGCCCGCGUCGGAUUAGCUUGUUGGUGAGGUAAAAGCUCACCAAGGCGACGAUCCGUAGCUGGUCUGAGAGGACGAUCAGCCACACUGGGACUGAGACACGGCCCAGACUCCUACGGGAGGCAGCAGUGGGGAAUAUUGGACAAUGGGCGCAAGCCUGAUCCAGCCAUGCCGCGUGAGUGACGAAGGCCUUAGGGUUGUAAAGCUCUUUUGGCGGGGACGAUAAUGACGGUACCCGCAGAAUAAGCUCCGGCUAACUUCGUG
rnacentral:rRNA from 1 species